rnacentral:rRNA from 1 species
AUGCGCAAUCCAUCUGGCAUUCCGAAGGUGUAUGAUCUGGAGAUCCCCGAGCCGGUGGGUUUGCCCAAUGUGGUGGACGAGGACUGGCCUUUUGUGCCUCCGCCGCCAGCGCCACCAACUGAGCGCCGCACUCUGAUCCAUCCACUUACCAUUCAUGUGCUGGAUGUGAUGGACCGCACAGUGCCGUUCAUGGCGCUUCGUCCAAACUACGAGCCGGAGGACGAUGAAGACCUCACAAGAAGACAUGACUACUCCAGAAGCUGUUUCAGAGGGCGGAUCGACGGCGAGGGCCGGGGCGACGCUAUUCGCUCGGGUGGUCACCCCUUUGGUGGCCCGGGCGGCCUUGGCAUUGCUGGGGAUUGGGGCGGCCGGCGGGUGAACGGCCUCCUCGUUCGAGCUGGAAGAUUGGAACCUGGCUCUCUGGUGCGAGCGAGCCCCUCCAUGGGAUCGAGCCCGGUCGGGCCCGCGGCUGUCUCUGUCGCCCCGCGCUCCUCUAGGUCUUCUUCGGCGGCUUCCACUGCGGUCGGCUCGGCAGCGUGGGUCGACACCCCUUGCGGGCGCUCUCUGGCGGCGUCCACGGCGGUGGGAUCUGCGGUGCUGGGGCGAACACCGGAUCAUGGGUUCGGCUACGGGCGAUGCGGCCCAUCCCCUCGGCGUCUCUCGUUCAGUCUGGUGGAUAGCGAGGGGGAUGGCAGGCCAGAAGACAUUCAGGCUUCGGAUCAAGCAGUUCCCUUGGGCCUGGGUGAUGCUCUGCCGCCACUCAGGAUGCCGGACUUGCAGGAGGUGAGAGCUGGUGAGCAGGAGGGCGCGGUGAGCACGCCAUUUGCAGUCCCGCUGAUGCCGCACCAGCUCCUUCCGUCGCUGUCUGCGUCAACGGGAGGUGUGGGGGAGGCUGGGCCCUUGUCGGCGUAG